UCCUGAUCGAAAGACCAUCGUGAAUAACUGCGCAGACUUGUCUGAACAGGCCGAACUCGGCAUGUGUGUAUCGUAGGGUAAUUUAUCAGUAUAUGAUUAGUUUUUGCUAGAUUAAUACCGUGCGUGAUUACAAAACUAUGAGCCGUCAAUUUGUAGAAGAUUUUAUUAAAAUAUAUAAAAGCGAGUCUUGUCUUUGGCAAACAAAGUGCAAGGAAUACCACGACAGAAAUAAAAAAAAUGCGGGAUAUGUAAGAUUGGCAGAGAUAUUAAAAUAGAUUGAGCCGAAUGCUACAAAAAUGCUGUGAUCAAAAAAAUAAAUAACCUGAGAAGUGCCUAUAGAAAGGAAAAUAAAAAACUUAAGAGUCUUUGAAGUGACGACGUAUACAAGCCGAAGCUGUGGUACUUUUGGAUGUUAAGUUUCCUAGGUGAUCAAGAUAUUGCUCGAACUAACCGCUCAAACUUAGACAGCGAUAAUGAUGAUAUUAACACCCAGGAAUAUUUAGACGAAUUAUCGCAAAACGAAUCAUCCCAAAACAGUGAAACCCAAAGUACUUCUGCUAAUUAUAAAGAAACAUCAUCUGAACCAGUCGUAGGAAGUUCUGCACCGACACCUCGCUCUCAGUUACGAACGGAAUGAGAGGUAGUGCGAUCGGUAAAAGAUCACUUCAAAAGGUCACGACUUGAAGAAGACCAGUUUGACGUUUAUUGCAAAGGCCAUUGCUAUAAAAUUACGAGGGCUUCCAAAACAGCAAAUGCUCAUAGCUGAAAAAAUAGUGAAUGAUACUUUGUUUCAAGCCGAAGUGGGUCAGUUAACUAUGACGCAUAAACUUGUUGAUGAGGCUACAAAUAUGCCGAUUCGACGUCAAUUUGACUGCUACUAUCGCCCAGACACUAAUCUGCAACCCUUAUCAGUAUGUCAAGAAAGUCCGUUAAGUUAUUCGAGUUCGCCCAGCCCCGACCUAGGACGUGUACAAAAUAACCAGCGUCAAUCAUCAGGCAUAAAUAAUAAUUUAUCAGAAGACCAUCAAAGCAUAGGAUCAUUUUUCUCGAAUU